GCUCCAGUGGCGCAAUGGGUUAGCGCGCGGUACUUAUAAUGCCGAGGUUGUGAGUUCGAGCCUCACCUGGAGCA
rnacentral:tRNA from 1 species